CUAUUUUAUUUUUUAAAAUUUUGUUUUAUUGCUUAAAAUAUUACAAAGAGUAGUACAUAUGUCUCCUUUUUUUUUUUUUCUCCCCUUGACCUUCCCUGGCCUCCCCUACCCCCCAAUGUCUUGUGUCCCAUUGGUUAUGCUUAUAUGCAUGCAUACAAGUCCUUUGGUUGAUCUCUUACCCCUCUCCCCCCACAACUCUCCUCGGCCUUCCUGCUAUAGUGAGCAUUAUGCUAAGUGAAAUAAGCCAGUCAAUGAAAGAAAAGUACCACAUGAUCUCACUCAUUUAUGGAUAAUAAAGACCAUUAUAAACUGGGAGAGAUCUUAGAAGUCUUCUCACCGUGGUUUUCAGGCUUCUGUGUGAUAGGAAGGGAGCUAAUGAAAUUUAUGUACAAUUUUCAAUAUUACGGUGGAAGGUGCCAGUGAGCAGCAGCAAAUGGAGGUCAGGCAGCGACUCCAGCAGUCGCUUCCCUGUAUGACACAGUCCUGUAGCCAAGUCCCAGGGAGAGGUCACUGGGGUCUCCGAUGACAUCAUACCAAGUUUGCUGCAUAUGCAUUUCAAAAUAAAAGCAUGUCCUCAGCACCCAUGGCUGGGGUGCUUGCUUCUGGAAAUAACCGGGGGCUGUGUAGGAGACAGGGGUGUAGAAUCCAGGAUUCUGGAGGGGGGCGAGGGCCAUGGCCAGUGAGUCAGCUCCAAGUAGGAACCGGGGUCUUUGUGCCACAGGCUUCCACUUGUUUCCUACAAUUUCUUCUUCUUUUUUAAAAUAUGUUUUUACUGAUUUCAGAGAAAAGGGAAAAGGAGAAAGAAACAUCAAUGAUGAGAGAGAAUCAUUGAUCGGCUGCCUCCUGCACACCCCCUACUGGGGAUCGAGCCCACAACCUGGGCAUAUGCCCUGACAGGGACUCGAACCAUGAGAACCACGAAGCCGCACAGGCUGGGUGCUACAAUUUCAAUGAAAAGAUCCUAAGGCCAGAAACACUAAGGCUCUCUUAAUCUUUAGGAAGCCGAAGCAGGCUGCCCGGGUUUGAACCAAGACUUCUCUGAUGGCUAGCUCCAGGACCUUGGGCAAAUCACCUUACCUUUUUGGUGCCUCAGUUUCUUUACCUACAAAAAUGAGGGAAAUGUCCUGCCUAGUAGGGUUGUUGGCACAUAGCUAUAUAACUGUUCGUUGUUAUCAUUUUUGUUAUUGGUAAAAAAAACAAACUACUUCUGGGCUUCUAAAACAGUUUUUCAGACUUUGUCCCGGAGCACCCACACUUAGUGGUGGUUAAAUAAGUCAUCUUAAGGCAUCUUGCUGCUGCCACUCAGAAGUCAGCUGAGGUUCUUGGGGCCCACAGACUCUGACUUCCACCAGCCCCCCUGCAGCCCAGGCUGCCCAAGCUCCGUGCAGAUGCAACCCUCCCAAGGCUCUGGGCUUGGUCUCCAUCCCCAUCCCAGCUCUCUGUUCCUCUGUCACUUCCCUUCCUUCCCACUGCUCUGAGUCCGAACUCAGCACCGGGGCUGGGAGAAUGGAGAGACAUGAAGAGAGGCAGACAGACACCUCUGGGCCACCGAGGAGGAACCUGCCAGCCACCAGUGGAGGAGCAGGACUCAGGCUGCUGCAGAGAUUUCUUCUCUGGCAUCCGUGAGGUGAUAACGGGCCCAUCCCCUUCCCAGGUGAGGCCACCAGGUCCAUCCCAUGAAAAGAUGCAUCUUUCAGUCUCUAGUCCAAUACCCUGAUGACUGCCAGUUCCAGGAUGAGGCAUCCCUCCUUUCCUGACCGAAAAGAACUCCCUCCUUCCCACUGUCUCCCCAUCCCCACGCUGUGGGAAGGCUCCCACACAGCCAGGACCUGCCCAGGUGAGGAAAGACUCUUCGAGUCCUUGGUGGAUGGCUCUGAGCUUCAGACCCAGCAGAAAUGCUUCAGGGGAGAGGGAAGUUCUCCAGUAAAAUGGUGAGUCGGGUGGUGUGUGCCCUGGAAAAGGACAUGGCCACAGUGGGCCUGGCUGGUGUUGCUGAUUGGUUGAGUGUCGACCCAGGAACCAAGGGGUCACUGGUUUGAUCCCCAGUCAGGGCACAUGCCCCGAUUUCAGGCACAAUCCCCAGUAGGAGGCGUGUGGGAGGUAGCAGAUUGAUGAUGUUUCUCAUCAUUGAUGUUUCUAUCUCUAUCCCUCUUCCUUCCUCUCUCCGUAAAAGUCAAUAAAAACAUAUUUAAAAAACAAAAUGAAAUGAAACAGAACACAAGGAGAGGAAGGGGACAAGAGCUGAUUUACGGCUGACCUUAAAGUGAGAGCCUUUCCUACCCUGCAGGUGGUGUGCAAAUUGGUAGAUGCUUCUGAAAGGCAGUUUGGCAGUUUGCCUUUCCAAUAUUUAUGCUCUUGCCUCAGAAGUUACACAGGGAGUCUUUCCUAAUGAAUUUACCAGAGAUGUUCAUUGCCAUGUUAUUUUUUAAAUUAAAAAUCUUUCAGUGUUCAACAUUAAGAGAAUAUUGAUUCAAUUUCAGUUUUGUAAAAAAAUGAAUAUAAUACAGCCAUUAAAAAUUAUGUUUAUGAAAAGGCUUUUUUGUCAUGAGCCUGAAUUUAUUUAAAAGCAAAAAAUGUGAGAUGCACAUGUGUGUCUCUAGCUAAUGUGCUCUGAACUGUGUGUGCCCUGAUCCGUCCGCAUACUCCAGCCUUCCUUUCCCAUCAGUAUCCGAACAGAAUCCGUAAACCCCCACGAGGAUACGAAACGUCCCCAGUGUAAUGUCCUUCAGAAGAAGCCGCUGGGAAUGCAUGCUUCGGUGAAAGGUCCAGCCGCUCUGAGCCCGCUACCCUGGGAGGAAGGCCGAGCCAGCCACCUGGCGAGAGAGAUGCCGGCCGGCCAGCUCCCCAUGCCCCUGCCACGCAAACUGAGGCACCAGGCACGUGAGCGUAGAACUCAGUUUGGAGUUGAGCCUUCAGAUAACACCAGCCUCAACUACAUCAGCCCCAAAUCGAGAACCUCCUAACUGAUGGCCAUCAACCCACAGGACCAUUAGAAAUGCUAACUAUUCUUGCCCGACUGGCCUGGCUCAGUGGUUGAGCAUCGACCUAUGUAUGAGACAGGAGGUCACGGCUCAAUUCCCCGUCAGGGCACAUGCCCGGGCUGCAGGCUUGACCCCUGGCAGGGGGUGCGCAAGAGACAGCCCAUCCAUGAGUCUCUCUCAUCAUUGAUGUUUCCAUCUCUCUCCCCCUCUCCCUUCCUCUCUCUGAAAUUAAUAAGAACAUUAAAAAAGGCUAAAUUUUCUUGAAACUAACCAAGUUUUGGGGUGGUUUGUUGCACACAGAUAAUUAAAACGUUUCUCAUCAAGCAAAUUUCCCACCAGCUGUGGCCCUGUGUUACGGACUGCGUGUGUGGUUCCCUCCCACUGAUGGCUUUGGAGGUGGGCCCUUGGGAGGGAAUUAGGUCCUGAGGUGGGAGCCUUCGUGAAUGGAGCAGUGCCUUUCCUAGACCAGGCCGGAGAGCUGGUCUCUUUUUCCACCACGUGAAGAUGCAACAGUGUGCAGUCUGCACCCCAGAAGAGGCCCUCGCCAGGACCUGACCACCUGGCCCCUGCGCCCAGACUGCCAGCCUCCAGAAGGCUGCUGUUGAUGAGCUACCCUGCUGUGGUGCGUUGCCAUGGCAGCCUGAAAGGACCAAGACACCCUCCGUGGCCCAGGGCCAAGACUUCUCUCUCAGAUCUGGCCCUGGCUCCAGGGUCCAAGCCCUUGCCCCUGUGUUAAGUGAUCAAGGAACAAUUUCCAAGUCUUUCCCCCAUUUUAGGUUAUCAAGGAACAAUUUCUAAAAUGUCUUCCAAUUUAGCCCUGUUGAUGUUUUGCUCUCGCCUUUCAGAUGGUGCGGGAGGCAGGUGAGUACUGCUUGCAUUUUUCCCUUAAAGAAGCCCAUUCAAGACAUUUCCCAGAUUAAAAAAAAAAUCAACUUCCCUCAAGAUAAAUUCUGCCAUUCUCAUAAAAGGUUGCAGCAGCUGCACUUGAAACGAGUGGAAAUGCCACGCUUCCCCCUUCUGGCUACAUAUGUGGAAACUGCAGAAACAAGUAAGCUGAAAAUACACCAAAAUGUUAACAGGAGUCGCCUCUCAGUCACUUUUUUCUAUGUGUAAAGCAACUUUUACGACUUCAUUUUCAACAACAAGGACAAACGACUGUUACAACAUAAAUGUUUUAACAAGUAUAUUAACAAACUUACAAGCAGGAUCAGAAGCUGUCUUGGGGGAAAGCUGGUGGGGGAGGGUCAAAUGCUGGGCUUGCUGCUGAGCCACCAGCCCUGCCUGCCCCCCAUCCCCCCCCACCCCCCAUCCCACACACAGGCAGAGGCUGUCCCACCACGGAGGCCAUAGCACGUGACCCAAUCCCAGCUAGUGGGACCCCAAGGGACACCUGCUGCUGAGAAACAGUGGGUAGGAUGGAGGGAGA